rnacentral:rRNA from 1 species
CAGUCGCCGCGGGAAUAUGGAGGGGGCUAGCGUUGUUCGGAAUUACUGGGCGUAGAGCGUACGUAGGCGGCUUUGUAAGUUAGAGGUGAAAGCCCAGGGCUUAACUCUGGAACUGCCUUUAAGACUGCAAGGCUUGGACGUCGGAGAGGUGAGUGGAAUUCCGAGUGUAGAGGUGAAAUUCGUAGAUAUUCGGAAGAACACCAGUGGCGAAGGCGGCUCACUGGACGACUGUUGACGCUGAGGUACGAAAGCGUGGGGAGCAAACAGGAUUAGAUACCCCCGUAGUCCCUGUCUCUUAUAC